rnacentral:misc_RNA from 1 species
AACCUUAUGGACCUGCGGGCGUAUACCUGCGGAGGGAUCAUUACCUAGAGUUGUAGGCUUUGCCUGCUAUCUCUUACCCAUGUCUUUUGAGUACCUUACGUUUCCUCGGUGGGUUCGCCCGCCGGUUGGACAAAACUUAAACCCUUUGUAGUUGCAAUCAGCGUCUGAAAAAACUUAAUAGUUACAACUUUCAACAAUGGAUCU